rnacentral:lncRNA from 1 species
AUCAAAACACCUGAAAACAGCAGAGACAACCAAAAAUUUCAUGUAAAAGAGAAUUGCCCAUCAGUUCUGACUCAGAAGGUUCAAGUGGUGUGCAGUCAGCGUGGGAAAGGCACAGAACAUACUCAUCAGUAGUGAAGAUGGAAUUUACAGACUAGUGACCAAAGUGCCACAUGCCAGUGUGUUCCUUUCUCCUGCUGAAGCACUUGUCUGGUGGUGCUUGCACGGG